rnacentral:lncRNA from 10 species
GCUGGAGUCCCAGGUUGGAUAGCCCUCCCCAGUGAGAAGUGUGGACCGGGACCGGGACCGGGACCUGUAUGGAGAACAAUCUGGUAACUUUUCCAUGAGAUUACAGCAAAAUGUCAAGAAGUGGUAAAGGAGGGCUGGAGGCACAAGAACAUUUACAUCUCACGCUGCUGACAGGCAGCCAGCUGGUGAUGGUGCCUCAGAGCAGCCAUGCAGAGAGAAAACCACCUCAGAGCAUGGGAGGCUGGUGGGAUCACAGGCCACCAUGCUCCUGGCAAGGAUGCGAUGAGAAUAGUGGAUUUGGAGAACAGCAAAUCCGCCACCUUGAAUAUCACUGACAGAACUCUGCAAAUAGACAUUGAAUAAACUUGGAGAAGAGGGUCAUGUGGAUCCUUCCAAAACACUUUCUCCAUGUGAUUUUCCUGAAGAGGAAUUAGCCAAAGAAGAUAAGGACCUGGAUCUCCCACACAACUGAGACAAUGCACAGGCAUACAAAAUUGGGGUUAAUAAGGGUGAGUUAUCCCAAAAAAAUACGGUAGCCUGCUCAGACAAGCACUCUGGUUGAGGGUAUCAAGUUUGUAUUCUUAAUUCCUGGAAUGUUGUCAAUUAAUGUCAAGUAAUCACCAAAUAAAAUCUGAGUCAACUGGAACAGAGA